rnacentral:lncRNA from 1 species
AAAAUCCAUUUCUACUCUCUCCCUUGCAAUCUUUCCCUCUCUCUUUAAAUUUCUAGCUUUUUAUUACUAUUUCACUAAUAAUAAUAAAGUCAUGCCCUGUUUUAAGUGUUGUAACCCUUGAUCACUGAUACCCUGUCCAACUGACAUAGGGCCCCGUAACAAAUGUCAAGGCUCUGCCUAAAUUUGUUGGGGUUCUGUCUCGUGACGUAGGGAUAAAGUUAAAUUGGGCUACUAUACUUAAUUUGAGUACACUAUAUAUUUUAUUAAAUAAUCCAGGAGUUAUACCAAGAUAUAUCAACCCUCCAAAAAUAUUUUAGACACCCGCAAAUGUCCUAAAUACACCCCGUAUAUGUAAAACGGUCCCGAAAUAACUUUAUAUAAUUAAAAAUAAAAUAAAAGUCAGUUUUAUAGUCUCUCGUGGGCCGCGAAGACUUGGUCUUCAUCUUACGCGGGCCGCGAGCGAGAAGAUAAGUGGCGCAGCCCAGGAGCCGCCACGUGGCAGUACACGCGUCAGAACCCGGGAGACUCAGCAACAUCGCCGCCGCCCUACCAUUUCUCGCGGGCCGCGUAGCCCUUAGCUACGUCUUACGUUGGCCGCGUAAAAGUCGAAAAUCAGCCCUAUAAAUAGCAGGCAACGGCAGUUCGUUCAAAUCAUUCAAAAUUACUUUCUCUCUCUCGAAAUUCUUAAAGGAUAGGCACUAUACUCGGGUAUUAUACCCCCCUAAAUAGCGAAGCUCUGCCUCGUUGUAAGUAUCAUAACCCCUGGAUACGUAUUAGAUACUCUGCCCGAUUAAUCUAGGGUUCCGUAACGGCUGUCGUGGUUCUGCCCGACGUAGUCGUUGGAAUGCCGUCUCGGGGAGGAUUAUAACCAGGAAGUCACACAGGAAAGCCCUAUAAUAGCAAUGUAACUUGGUGGGAAGCCAAUAAAAGCCAGCUGGAGAGCACUGAAGGCUUAGAAAAGUGGCAAUAAAAGUUACCUAAUUAAAAAUGAGAAUUGUUUUCAAUAAUUGGGAUCAUCCCCUAUAGAUGUAUCAAAAUGAAAAUCGGGUUUUGUCCCACUUAUAAAUGUGUUACCAGAGAAACUUGGAUUUUAUCCCAUUUUCUUUAAUUUAAAUAUAUUUGGUGUUUAACCCUGAUAAAAAUAUUUCCCAACUACGGUCCUGAUGAAAUUUUCCGCUGCCAAAUUAAUAAACACCGAUACCACUGAAACUGGCUCACGGCCGCCUGCUCCCGGAAUAGGGGUCGGGGGUUGUGACAGUUGAAGCCCUAGACUUGUUGUUCAAGCAUAUUUCAUUUAACAAUAUCAUGAUACAGAUUCACUCCAAAUAAAAUUCAAAUUUUUAUUAUAUUACUAUUCAAUAUCCAGAUUAAUUUAUAUCUAAAAUACUAAUUGUGUCCAAUUUUAGAUUGCCAGUAACAAACCUAACAAUUCGAAUGAAAAAUAACUCGAUCAACACAAAAUUCACUUCAGAUCUGCAACAAUCAUCGAUUAUACAACAUUUAAUACAAUGAAAUCAGAUUGAAUUAAUUACCAGUAUCUCCGAUGAUGAUGUACUUAAAGAGGAAAGCAUAAGACAUGGCUACACAGAUCUUCUGAAUAUUCUGAAAACAGAUGGAAACGAUGAAUUAAAAGCAAAUAUACUUUAAGAUUGAUUUGGUUUAAGAGAUCAACGAUCGAUAAACUUGAAUCAGAGUAAAUAGAUGCGAUGCAAUGCAAUGCAAUGGAAGAUUUUAGGGUUUUCUCAAUGGAAUCGUUGAAGGGAAGCAUCCAUCUGAUUUUUAGGGUUUGAAUCGUACGAUCGAAGGAAGAGGAAAUAAGAUGCAUUGUGUGAGAGAGUAGAAAAAGAGCGGAGAAUAAAGGAAAAGGGGGUUUGGCGCUCAUCAACAAUUCUCUAGCCUAAGAGGAUGUCCACAUCACCCAAUUGAUUGGCUAAGAAUAGCCCAUGUGGCCUAAGAGAAUUCAUUUAGUAUAAUAGAUAGAUAGGAUGAUGACAUAGUGAAUUCAUUUCAAUGUUGAUAUUUUCUUUUCUAUUUUGUUUUGGAAUAUAUAUACUUAUGAAUUGGUUAAUUUGGGUUGUAUUUAAAAGGGAUUAAUCAUUAACUGAUUAAAAAGUAAAAUU